GAUGAACGCUGGCGGCGUGCCUAAUACAUGCAAGUCGAGCGAACAGACGAGGAGCUUGCUCCUCUGACGUUAGCGGCGGACGGGUGAGUAACACGUGGAUAACCUACCUAUAAGACUGGGAUAACUUCGGGAAACCGGAGCUAAUACCGGAUAAUAUCUUGAACCGCAUGGUUCAAUAGUGAAAGACGGCUUUGCUGUCACUUAUAGAUGGAUCCGCGCCGCAUUAGCUAGUUGGUAAGGUAACGGCUUACCAAGGCCACGAUGCGUAGCCGACCUGAGAGGGUGAUCGGCCACACUGGAACUGAGACACGGUCCAGACUCCUACGGGAGGCAGCAGUAGGGAAUCUUCCGCAAUGGGCGAAAGCCUGACGGAGCAACGCCGCGUGAGUGAUGAAGGUCUUCGGAUCGUAAAACUCUGUUAUUAGGGAAGAACAAAUGUGUAAGUAACUAUGCACGUCUUGACGGUACCUAAUCAGAAAGCCACGGCUAACUACGUG
rnacentral:rRNA from 1 species